GAGAUAGAGCAAGAGGUAAGAGAAAAAGAGAGAUAGAGCGAGAGGUAAGAGACAAAGAGAGAGAGAGCGAGAGGUAAGAGACAAAGGGAGAUAGAGCGAGAGGUAAGAGACCAAAAGAGAGAGCGAGAGGUAAGAGAGAGAGCGAGAGGUAAGAGACAAAGAGAGAGAGCAAGAGGUAAGAGACAAAGCGAGAGAUGAGAGACAAAGGUAAGAGACAGAGAGCGAGAGGUAAGAGACAAAAAGAGAGAGCGAGAGGUCAGAGACAAAGAGAGAGCGAGAGGUAAGAGAGAGAGCGAGAGGUAAGAGACAAAGAGAGAGAGCGAGAGGUGAGAGACAAAGAGAGAGAGCGAGAGGUAAGUGACAAAGAGAGAGAGCGAGAGGUAAGUGACAAAGAGAGAGAGCGAGAGAGGUAAGAGACAAAGAGAGAGCAAGAUGUAAGAGACAAAGAGAGAGCAAGAUGUAAGAGAGAGAGAGAGUGAGAGAGAGAGGUAAGAGACAAAGAGAGAUAGAGGGAGAGGUAAGAGACAAAGAGAGAUAGAGCGAGGGGUAAGAGACAAAGUUAGAUAAAGCGAGCAAGAGGUAAGAGACAAAGAUAGAUAGAGAGAGCGAGAGGUAAGAGACAAAGCGAGAGAGCGAGAGGUCAGAGACAAAGAGAGAGAGCGAGAGGUAAGUGACAAAGAGAGAGAGCGAGAGGUAAGUGACAAAGAGAGAGAGCGAGAGGUAAGUGACAAAGAGAGAGAGCGAGAGGUAAGUGACAAAUACAGAGAGCAAGAGGUAAGAGACAAAGAGAGGGAGCAAGAUGUAAGAGAGAGAGAGAGAGAUGUAAGAGAGAGAGAGAGAGGUAAGAGACAAAGAGAGAUAGAGCAAGAGAUAAGAGAAAAAGAGAGAUAGAGCGAGAGGUAAGAGACAAAGGGAGAGAGAGAGGUAAGAGCAAAGGGAGAUUGAGCGACAGGUAAGAGACAAAGAGAGAUAGAGCGACAGGUAAGAGACAAAGAGAGAUAGAGCGAGAGGUAAGA
rnacentral:lncRNA from 1 species